GGGAUUUGAACUCUGGACCUUCGGAAGAGCAGUCGGGUGCUCUUACCCACUGAGCCAUCUCACCAGCCCGAAAUUAUUUUUUAAUUCAAUAAUUUUUCAGAGAACAAAAAAUACAGACUUGUCAGUUGUGACAGUAUGGGUGAGGCUGAAAAUUACUUCAGGUAAGUACCUGACAACGAUAGGUACCAUGUGAUCUCGUCAAUUUGUUAAAUGUAAUGAGCUGAAACUCGCAGAAGUUAGAGAUAUUGAAAUAUAAGGAAUUGUAACUCACAAAAGGUGGAGAUGUAAUGGUUUUUCCUACUGACCAGUGACACAAGGAAGCCAGGGCUUGGGGACAUCCUGAGCAAUGGAUGCUCUGGAACAGUGUGACAGGGAGAAGCUCCCAGUCCUGUUGCCCCGAAUGCCGGAGGUGUGUAAGGAUUAUGUGGGGUAUAUUCGAGAAGAUAGUAUUUGAGAUGACAAUAGCAAAACUAAGACAAUUCAAUGUAGCCUCACUCAGCCCUGAAGCAAGCUGGUCCAGACUUUGACCUUGCUCCCACUAAGAAGAUUACCUAGGGUGGAGCCUUCCGACAUAGAUGGCUCUUUUGUUCUGUCAUGUUCCACUGCUUCCUCCAAGACACUGCUACCUGCUGAGAGGCGCCUGAGAUAUUCCAGGGGAACAUCCUAUUCUGCAUGUCCCCUACUGGCUGGUUCCAGACACCAGGAAUGGACUGGCAGAACAUGGGCCUUCCCCCCUUAUAAGCACACUCUCUUAGUAAACUGGCGGGCUUUGAACAGAAUUAUGUCUUGGUCUCCAUUAACCUCUCUCCAUCUAAGUCUCUUUCAGCCCCUAGCCUGCCUCCCAGGUGUACCCGUUUCAAAUAGGCCGCAGGCCGGCAUGCAACAAUUCACAGCCAACUCACGCAAUUAUAACAAAAUACCAAAUUAAUACAUGAAUUCCUGAUGUUGUCAUGAAUUAGUGAAAAAGGAAAAGUAAUGUAUGACUCAUUUUAUAGGUAAUUCUGGGACUUUACUCAAGGAAUUAUGAAAAGUGGGUCCUGAAAUUCCAAAUUCUUGAAAUAAUAAACUAGCAUCAGCAAAUGUAUUUCUCUGCUACGGCACUGUGAUACACGGCGCAAAAAAACAUGCUUUAGGGAACAUUGCUCACAAACAUGGCUCUGUACCCACCCGAGAAUAGGAAGAAUGGGAACAUGGCUAAAGAAGAGCAGAGUGAUGUGGGAACAUGGCUAAAGAAAGAAGUGAUGUGGGAACAUGGCUAAAGAAAGAGCAGAGUGAUGUGGGAACAUGGCUAAAGAAAGAGCAGAGUGAUGUGGGAACAUGGCUAAAGAAAGAGCAGAGUGAUGUGGGAACAUGGCUAAAGAAAGAGCAGAGUGAUGUCAGGGACAUGGCUAAAGAAAGAGCAGAGUGAUGUGGGAACAUGGCUAAAGAAAGAGCAGAGUGAUGUCAGGAACUUGGCUAAAGAAACAGCAGAGUGAUUGUUCUAUUUAAAAAUCUCAAACAGUAUGGUUAGUCCUUUGCAUGCUGGUCUCCUGGUAUGUUCAGAACCUUGAAUAUUAGUCUAUGAGUUCUUCCUUUAGUGUUCUACCCCUUGCCUCCUCCAUCUCCUGUCCCUUGUCACUGUGCUUUGUGUCGCUACUGAAUUCUGGACAAAUGCAGAAACCCAGACAACAGCCAGAGCCACC
rnacentral:lncRNA from 1 species